rnacentral:rRNA from 1 species
AGCUCCAAUAGCGUAUAUUAAAGUUGUUGCAGUUAAAAAGCUCGUAGUUGGAUUUCUGGUUUGAGCGUCGGGUCCGGUUCUUACGAAUCGUGAACUAUGAUUGCUUGGGCCAUUUUUUGUGAGGAUGCCUUCCUGCCAUCAAGUUGGUGGAUUGGUGGACUUGCAUCGUUUACUGUGAAAAAAUUAGAGUGUUUAAAGCAGGCGUUUGCUCAUUUGAAUACAUUAGCAUGGAAUAAUAAGAUACGACCUUGGUGGUCUAUUUUGUUGGUUUGCACACCAGGGUAAUGAUUAAUAGGGACAGUUGGGGGUAUUCAUAUUUCAGCGUCAGAGGUGAAAUUCUUGGAUCGCUGAAAGAUGAGCUUAGGCGAAAGCAUUUAUCAAGGAUGUUUUCAUUAAUCAA